UGGUGAUAGUAUCGCCGUGGAAACACCUGAUACCAUCCCGAACUCAGAAGUGAAACACGGUUGAGCCGAAGAUACUUGUCUGGCAACGGACUGGGAAAAUAGGUAAUCGCCA
rnacentral:rRNA from 1 species